rfam:Thalassolituus sp. HI0120 HI0120_c10, whole genome shotgun sequence.
CUUCUUCUACUUGCUGCGGGCAAAUAAAAUGAAUGUGCGCAUCGAUACCACCCGGUGUCACAAUCUGGCCUUCGCCUGCAAUCACUUCGGUCCCGGCACCCACUUCAAUAGUGACACCUUCCUGGGUAUCCGGAUUACCGGCUUUACCAAUGGCAGCAAUGCGCCCGGCUUUUAUUGCGAUAUCGGCUUUUACCACGCCCCAAUAAUCGAGAAUUAAUGCGUUAGUGAUAACAGUAUCCGGCACAUCGACGCUGAGUGCCUGACUUUGGCCCAUGCCAUCACG